rnacentral:rRNA from 1 species
AUUGAACGCUAGCGGGAUGCCUUACACAUGCAAGUCGAACGAGUGGCGGACGGGUGAGUAAUAUAUCGGAACCUGCCCAGUAGCGGGGGAUAACUACUCGAAAGAGUGGCUAAUACCGCAUACCAUUGGUGCGGCCCAUAUGGGAUUUGCUAGUUGGUGGGGUAAAGGCUCACCAAGGCCACGAUCCUUAGCUGGUUUGAGAGGACGACCAGCCACACUGGGACUGAGACACGGCCCAGAGUCCUACGGGAGGCAGCAGUGGGGAAUUUUGGACAAUGGGGGAAACCCUGAUCCAGCCAUCCCGCGUGUAUGAGAAGGCCUUAGGGUUGUAAAGUACUUUUGGCAGAGAAGCGGUAUCUGCAGAAUAAGCACCGGCUAACUACGUGCCAGCCGCCGCGGUAAUAC